UACGGGGGGGACAAGCGUUGUUCGGAUUUACUGGGCGUAAAGGGCGCGUAGGCGGACCUCUAAGUCGGGUGUGAAAUCUGUUGGCUUAACUGACAGUCUGCACUCGAUACUGGAGGCCUUGAGUACGGAAGAGGAGAGUGGAAUUCCAGGUGUAGCGGUGAAAUGCGUAGAUAUCUGGAAGAACACCAGUAGCGAAGGCGGCUCUCUGGUCCGAUACUGACGCUAAAGCGCGAAGGCUUGGGGAGCAAACAGG
rnacentral:rRNA from 1 species